CCUACGGGAGGCAGCAGUGGGGAAUAUUGCACAAUGGGGGAAACCCUGAUGCAGCGACGCCGCGUGAAGGAAGAAGUAUUUCGGUAUGUAAACUUCUAUCAGCAGGGAAGAAAAUGACGGUACCUGACUAAGAAGCACCGGCUAACUACGUGCCAGCAGCCGCGGUAAUACGUAGGGGGCAAGCGUUAUCCGGAUUUACUGGGUGUAAAGGGAGCGUAGGCGGUUUAGCAAGUCAGAAGUGAAAGCCCGGGGCUCAACUCCGGGACUGCUUUUGAAACUGUUGAACUAGAGUGCAGGAGAGGUAAGUGGAAUUCCUAGUGUAGCGGUGAAAUGCGUAGAUAUUAGGAGGAACACCAGUGGCGAAGGCGGCUUACUGGACUGUAAAUGACGCUGAGGCUCGAAAGCGUGGGGAGCAAACAGGAUUAGAUACCCUAGUAGUC
rnacentral:rRNA from 1 species